rnacentral:rRNA from 1 species
AAAUUGAAGAGUUUGAUCAUGGCUCAGAUUGAACGCUGGCGGCAGGCCUAACACAUGCAAGUCGAACGGUAACAGGAAGCAGCUUGCUGUUUUGCUGACGAGUGGCGGACGGGUGAGAAAUGUCUGGGAAACUGCCUGAUGGAGGGGGAUAACUACUGGAAACGGUAGCUAAUACCGCAUAACGUCGCAAGACCAAAGAGGGGGACCUU